AUUGAACGCUGGCGGCGUGCCUAACACAUGCAAGUCGAGCGGUAACAGGUGUAGCAAUACAUGCUGACGAGCGGCGGACGGGUGAGUAACGCUUGGGAAUCUGCCUGUUAGUGGGGGACAACCCGGGGAAACUCGGGCUAAUACCGCAUACGCACUACGGUGGAAAGCCGGGGACCGCAAGGCCUGGCGCUAACAGAUGAGCCCAAGUCGGAUUAGCUAGUUGGUAGGUAACGGCCUACCAAGGCGACGAUCCGUAACUGGUCUGAGAGGACGACCAGUCACACCGGAACUGAGACACGGUCCGGACUCCUACGGGAGGCAGCAGUGGGGAAUAUUGGACAAUGGGCGAAAGCCUGAUCCAGCGACGCCGCGUGGGUGAAGAAGGCCUGCGGGUUGUAAAGCCCUUUCGGUGGGG
rnacentral:rRNA from 1 species